rnacentral:rRNA from 1 species
UACGAAGGGGGCUAGCGUUGUUCGGAAUUACUGGGCGUAAAGCGCGCGCAGGCGGUCUUCCAAGUCAGUGGUGAAAGCCCGGAGCUCAACUCCGGAACUGCCAUUGAAACUGUAAGACUUGAGGAUGAGAGAGGUGAGUGGAAUUCCCAGUGUAGAGGUGAAAUUCGUAGAUAUUGGGAAGAACACCGGUGGCGAAGGCGGCUCACUGGCUCGCAACUGACGCUGAGGCACGAAAGCGUGGGGAGCAAACAGG